rnacentral:rRNA from 1 species
AACGAACGCUGGCGGCAUGCCUAACACAUGCCAGUCGAACGAGACCUUCGGGUCUAGUGGCGCACGGGUGCGUAACGCGUGGGAACCUGCCCUUAGGUUCGGAAUAACUCCCCGAAAGGGUGCUAAUACCGGAUAAUGUCUUCGGACCAAAGAUUUAUCGCCUUUGGAUGGGCCCGCGUUGGAUUAGCUAGUUGGUAGGGUAAAAGCCUACCAAGGCGACGAUCCAUAGCUGGUCUGAGAGGAUGAUCAGCCACACUGGGACUGAGACACGGCCCAGACUCCUACGGGAGGCAGCAGUGGGGAAUAUUGGACAAUGGGCGAAAGCCUGAUCCAGCAAUGCCGCGUGAGUGAUGAAGGCCUUAGGGUUGUAAAGCUCUUUUACCCGGGAUGAUAAUGACAGUACCGGGAGAAUAAGCUCCGGCUAACUCCGUG